CUCUGAUUCUCUGGUCUGCUGAGGAGUAUUUGCGUAUAAAGUACACAUACACACAAUAGAUUUCAAAAGAAGCAGUUGGAGGCCACUGUCCACCUAGAACUCCAUGAAGGUGAUGGGAUCACAGUUUAAGGAUGAGCAUUUAACCACAGCUGAAUUAUUCAUCAGCACGGAGCUAUCAUCCUCAAAGUAUCCAGAAACAAAUGCUACUCUCGGGAGCGGUCAAAGAAGCCUCCCUUCCCAGUGAAUGGUAACGGAUGCAGAGAUGCGGGGCUGCACAAGGUGCUGAGAAUAAGCGACAGAUGAAUGGUCAGACCCUGAGCAAGACAUUUCCUCACAAGUUCACAAGCAUUGUGAAAGAGAGGAAAGAAAGAAUCUAAGAGCUACAAUAUAGGGAGAGGGGCUGUGAAAUGCCAUCUUCUGGGCAGGACGCUGCUA